rnacentral:rRNA from 1 species
GGCUGGGGGUGAAAGGCCAAUCAAACCGGGAGAUAGCUGGUUCUCCCCGAAAGCUAUUUAGGUAGCGCCUCGUGAACUCAUCUCCGGGGGUAGAGCACUGUUUCGGCUAGGGGGCCAUCCCGGCUUACCAACCCGAUGCAAACUGCGAAUACCGGAGAAUGUUAUCACGGGAGACACACGGCGGGUGCUAACGUCCGUCGUGAAGAGGGAAACAACCCAGACCGCCAGCUAAGGUCCCAAAGUCAUGGUUAAGUGGGAAACGAUGUGGGAAGGCCCAGACAGCCAGGAUGUUGGCUUAGAAGCAGCCAUCAUUUAAAGAAAGCGUAAUAGCUCACUGGUCGAGUCGGCCUGCGCGGAAGAUGUAACGGGGCUAAACCAUGCACCGAAGCUGCGGCAGCGAACGUAUCACCCAAGACAACUUUGCGGAGUUGACGAUUGACGGAGCGAAGCGACGUCAAAGCGUUCAUUAAAGUCGAGUUGGCUUAGGGAUACGUUCGUUGGGUAGGGGAGCGUUCUGUAAGCCAGUGAAGGUGUGUCGUGAGGCAUGCUGGAGGUAUCAGAAGUGCGAAUGCUGACAUAAGUAACGAUAAAGCGGGUGAAAAGCCCGCUCGCCGGAAGACCAAGGGUUCCUGUCCAACGUUAAUCGGGGCAGGGUGAGUCGACCCCUAAGGCGAGGCCGAAAGGCGUAGUCGAUGGGAAACGGGUUAAUAUUCCCGUACUUGGUGUUACUGCGAAGGGGGGACGGAGAAGGCUAUGUUGGCCGGGCGACGGUUGUCCCGGUUUAAGCGUGUAGGUGUGUGUUCCAGGUAAAUCCGGUU